CCUACGGGUGGCUGCAGUGGGGAAUAUUGCACAAUGGGGGAAACCCUGAUGCAGCGACGCCGCGUGAGUGAAGAAGUAUUUCGGUAUGUAAAGCUCUAUCAGCAGGGAAGAAGCAAGACGGUACCUGACUAAGAAGCCCCGGCUAACUACGUGCCAGCAGCCGCGGUAAUACGUAGGGGGCAAGCGUUAUCCGGAUUUACUGGGUGUAAAGGGAGCGUAGACGGUAUGGCAAGUCUGAAGUGAAAGCCCAGGGCUUAACCCUGGGACUGCUUUGGAAACUGUUAGACUAGAGUGCUGGAGAGGUAAGUGGAAUUCCUAGUGUAGCGGUGAAAUGCGUAGAUAUUAGGAGGAACACCAGUGGCGAAGGCGGCUUACUGGACAGUAACUGACGUUGAGGCUCGAAAGCGUGGGGAGCAAACAGGAUUAGAUACCCUUGUAGUC
rnacentral:rRNA from 1 species